ACCAGGCGUACAGCCUUGAUUUUUUUUUAACUAAGAGCAGCAUAAAAACCCACAUUAGUAUCUAAUUAAAACACAGCCCUUCCUCUCAAUGGAGGAAACAUAAUGGUUAGGGUCCUGCUCAUCCUUUUCCCUCUUCCCAGCUGUUACAUCAAUAUUCCAUUAGAGAUGGCCCUGGCUGCACCCAGAAAAGAGCAGGCCUUUGGCCUUAGCUCCAGUAGCUGUCCAGCAGGUUUUUCUGGCACUGCGAGUAUGCUAUAGAUUUUUAAGGCUAUCAAAAACACAAUGCAUGGAUUACAGUGUUUACAGACUGGGCUUUAACAAUCCAUUCAUGAAAAGUGGAAUAGGCUAAGGGUUAAGAAAAGUGGUUGAGCAGUUUCCUGGGUGAAAUUUUUCCGUGAUCAACAUGACACUUUGAAAGACAAGCCUGCUGGUAUGUCCAUCCCCCUGUCCCACUCCAGAGGAAGAAAGGUGUGUAGAUCAGAGGUCAGCAGAAAGCCUCCAGAGGUUUUGCCAAGGUAUCGGCUGGAAAGCCAAGUGGGAUUUUGACACUCCCAGACAGCAAAGUUGUUUCACUUAUGUGGGUAGAAAGACUUAGCUUUUCCUCUAUUCCCCUGUGCAAGUCGUCUUUCUCCAGUUUCCUGAAAAGCUGCUCUGCAAGAUUUUUUUAAAAAAACAUGGGAGAACAACUCAUUCCACACUUCAUGCACACUGAAACUGCCUCUUCUGUAUUUAGGACACAUGCCACAUAUAACGGUUGCUAUGAGAUACCAACUACAGACAAUUUGGGAUUUUCAAAUUAAAGGUUCUUUGAAAAGAUGUUUUUCCCAUUAUGUCACUCUUUAGAGAGGAGGCAUGUAAGUUUUUCGAACACCUACCAAAUUGGGUGCAACCCAAUGUACUAGUCAGCUAAGUUUAUCCUUUAUCAAAACAGGGCUGGCUGUAGCACACAGCCAGAUUAGAUGGAUACCUUGAGUGGCAGAAUAGAGGCUUUCUAUUUCAAUUUGGAGAUUAUUGCUCAUAUCUUCCAUAUCUAUAUACAGUCCUUAAGCCAGCUGCAUGUCUAAAACAUGUGAGAGGUGCUUUCACACCUUCCCUUUCUAGCAGCCACUUUGAGCGUUUCCACAACCUCCCUGAGCAACUUUUUCCAUUGUUGAUCUGUUUAAACGGUUAAGUUCUGAACACUGAAGGCUCCCACUGGCAAGGCAUCAUAUGGCAAGCAGUGAGCAAUCUUAACUGGAUGCACCGCUGCUUCCCUCUCUCCCCACCCACACAUCACACCAUCCUUUGUGGCUUAUCUGACAAACAGUAUAUAAGCAGCUCCCAUCUUACAAAAAGUGUUUGUCUUUCUCUUUCUACUUGUUGACGCCCUUGCUAUUUUGAAAUUGUUUGCUUUUCUCCAUAUAUAAAGAGAAGUAGUUUCACCUGAAGGCUACUGUACUAAACCUCUCUAGGCAUAUUUACCUUGGAGAGAGUUCCAUCAAAUAUGGUGAGAACUACUUCUGAGCGAAGGGACGCGGGACCGCAUUGCAAGUUUCCUAGUCUUCCGUAGUAUGAAGGGAGAGAUGGGAGAAAAAGAAUCUUCCCCAAUGCUCAGGAUCAUGUCACGCAGCGUCAAGCAUUUCAAAACAAACAGCUCAAAGUCA